UUUUUGACUUGCUAUGCAUGGCAGGCUCCCUGCACUUACGUGCGGCUAACUGUCAUGGGCUGUCUAUUCAUUGUCCCUUUGAUUAGCAUUUUGGCUCUUUUGGGGUGCUCGGUCUGGUUGCCUGUGUUGUAUUACCACUGUUGGUAGCAUGAUUGUCAUGUUGUUGCCUAUUUAGCUCGCUCUGUUGAUGCUGUGCAACGACGGGGGGCCGAGGUGUCACAGAUUCCAUGUGUUGCCAUGUGCUUGUGCCUUGGAAAUGCAUUUGGGAUAUUGUUAGAACUCACGGAUAUUGUCUCUUUAGUGAGAGGUCUACGGGCUUCAAGCUGGUAGACCUACGAGGUUGCCCGUGCACAUAUCAUUGUUCCUGAUGUUUUGUUGACAUGUCGUGGUUCUUGCGUCGUGUUGUAGGAUAUGCAGGGCAUAUGAUUACGUGUGCGUGGCAUGCCUCUUUGACCGAUUGACAUGCGAUUGCUGGUUUGCAUUGUCAUCAGG
rnacentral:misc_RNA from 1 species